UACGUAGGGGGCAAGCGUUGUCCGGAAUCAUUGGGCGUAAAGAGCGUGUAGGCGGUCCGGUCAGUCGGUUGUGAAAGUCAAGGGCUCAACCCUUGAAUGCCGGCCGAUACUGCCGGGCUAGAGUCCGGAAGAGGUGAGUGGAAUUCCUGGUGUAGCGGUGAAAUGCGUAGAUAUGUGGAGGAACACCGAUGGCGAAGGCAGCCCCCUGGGUUAACACUGACGCUCAUGCACGAAAGCGUGGGGAGCAAACAGG
rnacentral:rRNA from 1 species